rnacentral:rRNA from 1 species
UAGUAGUCAUCCUAUCGUCUCAAAGAUUAAGCCAUGCAUGAGUAAGUGUAAAUAGUUAAGUUUGGAACUGCGAAUGGCUCAUUAUAUCAGUUAUAGUUUAUUUGGUGAAGUGUACUACUUGGAUAACCGUAGUAAUUCUAGGGCUAAUACAUGUAGAAAGUCCUCUGGUGAGGUGUGUUUAUUAGAAUGAAAACCAUAUGCUUUGGCCUGAUAGUGAGUAAUAAUAACCUAUCGUAUCGCAUGCUUAAUGUAACGAUGAGUCUUUCAAGUUUCUGCCCUAUCAGCUUUCGAUGGUGUAUUGUAGUACUACGACGGUAACAGGGAGUAAAGAAGAA